UGCUUUUGUGACAAAAGGAAGGUCCAGGAUGCUAAACUUCAAAGUGAUAAAGGACAUGGAUGCUUAAGAAAAUGCAACUUUGACCUGAUCAUAAUGUUAAUGAUGUGAAGAUCAAGGAGAGGAGACAGAACAUGAAGCAUUCCAAACUACCCCUCAAAACCACCAUGCUCAGAGCCUGAAAGGAUCACUUACCUCUGAGAGUACUCCAGGUAGCUGUCAAGAGACCAGAGCAGAGCAGAAGAGGAAGAGAAGUUUUCAAAAAACUGCUUGCAGGAGAUAGAAAGCUCUCGAAGUUACAGCUGAAGAUUGCAAUUUCUUCUGGCUGAAGUGG